rnacentral:sRNA from 1 species
CCAAAAUCUAACCAUUUGUUUCCCGAAUUGAAGCUACCUAGACCUUCAGGACUCCAAGAGCUAUGUUUCUACCGAUUGAUUUUCCGUUUUCUCUAACCGGUGAUUCUAACAUUUUGGGAGUGCAAGCAAGUGGUCUAGGGUUCCUACUUGAGCUUGGUUGUCUACACUAGAGAGUGGGAAGAGUGUUCGCUGGAGCAGGCAUUGGAUGUCGAGGACCCUGCUGCUUAGAUUAGGACCAUUCAUUAUACAUCUAAUGGUAGUUUUGUAUUAACCGUUCGGUUAUAACUCUAGCUUUGUAAUAAUCGUUCGGUUAUGUACAUAGUUUUG